rnacentral:rRNA from 1 species
UACGAGAGGCCCAAACGUUAUUCGGAAUUACUGGGCUUAAAGAGUUCGUAGGCGGCAUGAAAAGUAGGGUGUGAAAGCCCUCGGCUCAACCGAGGAAUUGCGCUCUAAACUGUCGUGCUAGAGGAACCUAGAGGUGAGCAGAACUGAUGGUGGAGCGGUGAAAUGCGUUGAUAUCAUCAGGAAUACCGGAGGCGAAGGCGGCUCACUGGGGGUUUUCUGACGCUGAGGAACGAAAGCCAGGGGAGCGAACGGG